GGAUGAACGCUAGCUACAGGCUUAACACAUGCAAGUCGAGGGGAAACGACAUCGAAAGCUUGCUUUUGAUGGGCGUCGACCGGCGCACGGGUGAGUAACGCGUAUCCAACCUGCCCACCACUUGGGAAUAACCUUGCGAAAGUAAGACUAAUACCCAAUGACGUCUCUAGAAGACAUCUGAAAGAGAUUAAAGAUUUAUCGGUGAUGGAUGGGGAUGCGUCUGAUUAGCUUGUUGGCGGGGUAACGGCCCACCAAGGCUACGAUCAGUAGGGGUUCUGAGAGGAAGGUCCCCCACAUUGGAACUGAGACACGGUCCAAACUCCUACGGGAGGCAGCAGUGAGGAAUAUUGGUCAAUGGACGAGAGUCUGAACCAGCCAAGUAGCGUGCAGGAUGACGGCCCUAUGGGUUGUAAACUGCUUUUAUAAGGGAAUAAAGUGAGUCUCGUGAGACUUUUUGCAUGUACCUUAUGAAUAAGGACCGGCUAAUUCCGUGCCAGCAGCCGCGGUAAUACGGAAGGUCCGGGCGUUAUCCGGAUUUAUUGGGUUUAAAGGGAGCGUAGGCCGGAGAUUAAGCGUGUUGUGAAAUGUAGAUGCUCAACAUCUGCACUGCAGCGCGAACUGGUUUCCUUGAGUACGCACAAAGUGGGCGGAAUUCGUGGUGUAGCGGUGAAAUGCUUAGAUAUCACGAAGAACUCCGAUUGCGAAGGCAGCUCACUGGAGCGCAACUGACGCUGAAGCUCGAAAGUGCGGGUAUCGAACAGGAUUAGAUACCCUGGUAGUCCGCACGGUAAACGAUGGAUGCCCGCUGUUGGUCUGAAUAGGUCAGCGGCCAAGCGAAAGCAUUAAGCAUCCCACCUGGGGAGUACGCCGGCAACGGUGAAACUCAAAGGAAUUGACGGAAGGGC
rnacentral:rRNA from 1 species